rnacentral:rRNA from 1 species
GCGAGUGAAGCGGGCAAAGCUCAACCUGAAAAUCGGAUAUCCAAGCGGGUGUUCGGAUUGUGGGCUAGAGACGCGUGAUCAGUGUGUGACCUAGGUAUAAAUCUUUUGAAACAAGGUAUCAUAGAGGGUGAGAAUCCCGUCUUUGACCUAGAGUUUUCGCCACGUACGAUCCGUGUUCAAAGAGUCGAGUUGUUUGGGAUUGCAGCUCUAAAUGGGUGGUAAAUUUCAUCUAAAGCUAAAUAUUGGCGAGAGACCGAUAGCGAACAAGUACCGUGAGGGAAAGAUGAAAAGAACUUUGAAAAGAGAGUUAAACAGUACGUGAAAUUGUCAAAAGGGAAACGUUUGAAACCAGUAUUGCUGGCAAGAAUUCAGCUCUAGUUUACUAUAGUGUAUUUUCUUGUUGGCGAGUCAACAUCAGUUUGACUUGGAGCAAAAAGCCAUGGAAAGGUAGCCUUCGGGUGUUAUAGUCCAUGGUCAUACUCUGGGUUAGACUGAGGACUGCAGAGUUUUUGGCUUCGGCACACCAACU